AUCUUAAUAGUUUUAAAAAAAAUUUUAUAUUGUGGGUAUAAAGAUACUGUUGUUUUAGAUU
rnacentral:tRNA from 1 species